CACUACGCCAGUCGAGCGGGACACCAGUCAGUAUGUGAGCUGCUCCUGGACCAGGGGGCCCGUGCUAAUUCUCAAACUGCAUAAGGCUGCUGAGCAGGGUCACGUGGACGUGUGCGAGUUGUUGGUGAUGAACUGUCCUGCCUUGAGAAGCAUGAAGGAUAAAAGAUCACGCUUACCUUCAGACCUUUGCCUGAAGAACAGUGCCUUACUGGAGUUACUAAACCCUCAAUGACCUGCUGUGCUGCUUUGAUGCCCAAAUGAACUUCAGAUCCUCUACAAGUCAGUUUUGUACAAGCAGUGGGACCCUGCGUGAGGUUCUUCUUGGACUGCAGGAUGGAAACCAUCGCAGGAACCCCACUUAGGCUUGUGUCCAAGCAUGGAAAUAAAUGUUUUUGUUUAA